UCGAGAAUCUUCGGCAAUGGGCGCAAGCCUGACCGAGCGACGCCGCGUGGAGGAUGAAGGCCUUCGGGUUGUAAACUCCUGUCGAGGGGGAAGAAGGCCCCGCAAGGGGCUUGACUGAUCCCUGGAGGAAGCACGGGCUAAGUUCGUGCCAGCAGCCGCGGUAAGACGAACCGUGCGAACGUUAUUCGGAAUCACUGGGCUUAAAGCGCGUGUAGGCGGGACGGCACGUCGGUCGCUGAAAGCCCCCGGCUCAACCGGGGAACGGGCGCCGAUACGACCGCCCUGGAGGGACGUAGGGGGACCUGGAACUUCCGGUGGAGCGGUGAAAUGCGUUGAGAUCGGAAGGAACGCCCGUGGCGAAAGCGAGGUCCUGGACGUUUACUGACGCUGAGACGCGAAAGCCAGGGGAGCGAACG
rnacentral:rRNA from 1 species